AAUACUAUACAGCCAUCAAAAAUCAGAUAAUGUUUCAUGUGUUGAUUUUUAAAAAAUGUUUGUCAGACAUUGUGAAGUUAAAUAAAGCAAAUUAUCAAUAAUAUAACUAAGAUAAUACCAGUAUAGGAAAAAAAAUUCUGCGGGUAAUUACAGGCCUGUUAGUUAUCUAUUGUUCAGUAUCAAAACACCCAAAAACUCAGUGGCUUCACACAAGAAGCAUUUAUAUUGUUCAUGAGGUGGCCAGUUGGCUGAACGUUUCUUUUCAUCACUGCUGGCAUUGUGUCUGACAUCAUCUGUGUGUAGCGUAGGCCUUUCUGCUGACAAGGCUGGGAUAUCUCAUAUGUUGGGAAAACACUUGGCUGGAGGCUGGUCUAGCAUGGCCUUGGCUGGGAUAACUGGGCUCUUCUCCACAUGAUGACUUUAAUCAGCUAGCAAUCCAGCCCAGGCCCAUCCUCAUUUAGCUUCAGGUGUUCAAGAGGGAGAAGGGCAAAAGGAUUUGUAAAUGGAUUUGUAAAACUCAGGCUGGAAACUGCAUCAGAUCCCUCUACUGCAUUACCCUGGCCAAAACCAACUAAUAUGGCCAGUUCAGAACUAACAUAAAGGCCAAAAAUGCUAGGAGGCCAAUGAUUAGAGCCAUGGAUAAUAUCAUUUUUGUAUUAAACGUUUUAUAAAAUUAUAGAGAAAAUUACACAAAGAUGCAAGCUAAACAUAUAAUUGUAGUUACCUUGUCAUGUGAAAUUAAAGAACUUAGAUGAUCUUUUCCCAUUUUUAUAAAUUUUUCUAUUGUUCGAUUUUAAUUGCACAUAUAUAUCUAUCUCAAAAAUAAGUGAAAGAAUAUUUUGUUCAUUUAAUGAACAAAAAUACUUUCAUCUCAUGGAUAAACAACAUCCCAAUUUAAAAACUAGUGGAUCAGGAAAGACAGCAGAAAAGAGAUCAUUUGUGUGGGUUUAUCAAAUAGUGAAGGGAGUAUCACAGCUUAGCAAUCCUCAGUCAGCUUCUUUCCCUUAUCUUCCAAAUUCACACUUCCGAGGUUAAGUAUCAGUGAAGUAAAGACUCCUGACCAUUUAGAGGCUGAUGGCGGCAGAGAGACAAACAGAGGUUUAAUGUGAUUUAUUAACAGUGUUAAAAAUAAAAGGAAAAACAGAGCACAGAGACUUGUUCUCGUGAGAGUGUGCAUGUUUUCAUUCUGAUCACUUUGUUAUAUCACAAAGAAAACACACCCUCUGUUUCCUAUUUUCCAAAGGGAAGAAGUUGUACAUUAGAUCAGGAGUCUAAUUGUAUCUUGGCAAAGAAAAGGAGAAUUUGAGGACCUGGAGUUUUCCAUUUAGGGUAGUAUCAACAAGCUGGUCCACUAAGAGGAAAGCAAGCCUGUUGAAAUUGCUUUAGUUUUCACUCGCUUUUUCCCGUCCAGGAAGCAGGAGCAGCCAUGGCUGUAUAUCAUUCUGAGAGUGACAACAGUGAAUCUGAAGAAGGCUCUGCAUAAUCUUCCUUUUCCACAGAAUCUGAAGAAGAAAAUGAAGAAAGUAGAGAUGAAGAAAGAGCGGCAUCAGCCCAGUCAAUGGCUGUUUCUCCAAAAGAUAAUGUUUCUUGGAGGCAUGAAGCAAAUGGCUCUAUCUUCAUUUCCAAAAUUAUCCACUAAUUCAAAAAUUAUUCUUGGAGUCAUUAUCUAAAGGAAAUUUUUCGAAAGGAAAAUGAAGGCAUUGUGGUGUCUAUGAAUCUGCUACUUGAAGAGGUCAAUUUUUGAUUAAGAAUAUUUUUAUUCCAAACUGCUUAGCUGUCCACCUUUUGCAAAUACCACACUAAAAUCAAUCUCAUGUUUUUGCUAAAUUAAGGCUUAAUAAAUUUGUUUAUAAAGUUGU